GGACCCGCACAAGCAGUGGAGCAUGUGGUUUAAUUCGAAGAUACGCGCAGAACCUUACCAACGCUUGACAUGUUCGUCGCGAGACUAAGAGAUUAGUCUUUUCAGUUAGGCUGGACGAAACACAGGUGCUGCAUGGCUGUCGUCAGCUCGUGUCGUGAGAUGUUGGGUUAAGUCCCGCAACGAGCGCAACCCCCUACUUUUAGUUGCCACCAUUUAGUUGGGCACUUUAAAAGAACUGCCAGUGAUAAGCUGGAGGAAGGUGGGGAUGACGUCAAGUCCUCAUGGCCCUUAUGUGUUGGGCUACACACGUGCUACAAUGGCACUUACAAUGGGAUGCGAAGAGGCGACUCUUAGCUAAUCCCUAAAAUGUGUCUCAGUUCGGAUUGUACUCUGUAACUCGAGUGCAUGAAGCUGGAAUUGCUAGUAAUCGC
rnacentral:rRNA from 1 species